AUUGAACGCUGGCGGCAUGCCUUACACAUGCAAGUCGAGCGGCAGCACGGGAGCAAUCCUGGUGGCGAGUGGCGAACGGGUGAGUAAAGUAUCGGAACGUGCCCAGUCGUGGGGGAUAACGUAGCGAAAGUUACGCUAAUACCGCAUACGAUCUAUGGAUGAAAGCGGGGGAUCGCAAGACCUCGCGCGAUUGGAGCGGCCGAUAUCAGAUUAGGUAGUUGGUGGGGUAAAGGCUCACCAAGCCGACGAUCAGUAGCUGGUCUGAGAGGACGACCAGCCACCCUGGGACUGAGACACGGCCCAGACUCCUACGGGAGGCAGCAGUGGGGAAUUUCGGACAAUGGGCGGAAGCCUGAUCCAGCCAUGCCGCGUGCAGGAUGAAGGCCUUCGGGUUGUAAACUGCUUUUGUACGGAACGAAAAGGUUUGGCCUAAUAAGCUGAGCUCAUGACGGUACCGUAAGAAUAAGCACCGGCUAACUACGUGCCAGCCGCCGCCGUAA
rnacentral:rRNA from 1 species